rnacentral:rRNA from 1 species
AGCCAACAUGCCCAGGGGACGUGGAUAACCUCGGGAAACUGAGGAUAAACCGCGAUAGGCCAAGAUUUCUGGAAUGAAUCAUGGUUUAAAUCUAUAUGGCCCCUGGAUUGGACUGCGGCCGAUCAGGCUGUUGGUGAGGUAAUGGCCCACCAAGCCUGUAACCGGUACGGGCUCUGAGAGGAGGAGCCCGGAGAUGGGCACUUAGACAAGGGCCCAGGCCCUAUGGGGCGCAGCAGGCGCGAAACCUCUGCAAUAAGCGAAAGCUUGACAGGGUUACUCUGAGUGAUUUCCGCUAAGGAAGUCUUUUGGCACCUCUAAAAAUGGUGCAGAAUAAGGGGUGGGCAAGUCUGGUGUCAGCCGCCGCGGUAAUACCAGCACCCCGAGUGGUCGGGACGAUUAUUGGGCCUAAAGCAUCCGUAGCCGGUCCUGCAAGUCCUCCGUUAAAUCCACCCGCUCAACGGUUGGGCCGCGGGGGAUACUACAGGGCUAGGAGGCGGGGGAGGCAAGCGGUACUCGAUGGGUAGGGGUAAAAUCCACUGAUCCAUUGAAGACCACCAGUGGCGAAGGCGGCUUGCCAGAACGCGCUCGACGGUGAGGGAUGAAAGCUGGGGG